AAUAGAUACCCGGGUAGUCCACGCCGUAAACGAUGAGUGCUAAGUGUUAGAGGGUUUCCGCCCUUUAGUGCUGUAGCUAACGCAUUAAGCACUCCGCCUGGGGAGUACGGUCGCAAGACUGAAACUCAAAGGAAUUGACGGGGGCCCGCACAAGCGGUGGAGCAUGUGGUUUAAUUCGAAGCAACGCGAAGAACCUUACCAGGUCUUGACAUCCUCUGACAACUCUAGAGAUAGAGCGUUCCCCUUCGGGGGACAGAGUGACAGGUGGUGCAUGGUUGUCGUCAGCUCGUGUCGUGAGAUGUUGGGUUAAGUCCCGCAACGAGCGCAACCCUUGAUCUUAGUUGCCAGCAUUCAGUUGGGCACUCUAAGGUGACUGCCGGUGACAAACCGGAGGAAGGUGGGGAUGACGUCAAAUCAUCAUGCCCCUUAUGACCUGGGCUACACACGUGCUACAAUGGAUGGUACAAAGGGCUGCAAGACCGCGAGGUCAAGCCAAUCCCAUAAAACCAUUCUCAGUUCGGA
rnacentral:rRNA from 1 species